GAUCAUCAGGAUCAUUUCAGAACCUCGAGGAAUGUGGGCCACCCUAGGAAGAUAUGGGUGGAUUCCCUCACCACAAGAGAAGGAACCCCACCCCACCUUCUCCAGAAUUCUUUCACUCCCAAAGACCAGAAGGAACACCUGUCUCUGUUGGAAGACCCCUUAUCUUCUCCAGGGGUAGAUCUACCUCCAUGUCCCUACCCCAUCUCUGGAUUCACCAGAUGGAGCCCAUAACGGAGAAAGCUGGUGUGGAGGAACGGAGACAACGCUCAAUGAUAACGUCCAGAUCCCUUGGCAUGAGUUGAGCGAUGGCAGGAUCCAGGAGGAAGAGUACUGCCUGCAGCCAAGAGCAUGAGAGCCUGGGGUAGGACCGUGGGAAGAAGUAGAUGGGAUAGAAGACCAGAACUCCUGGCAACCACAACACAGGGCUUGAGUGCCUCGUGACUCCCCUGAACGGUGGGGAAGACCUCGCCUAGCCAGGGGCUUGGAGGAGGGGGUGUCCUAAGCAGACAAGAGGCCCCACUUGGAGCAGACCCCAGCAGCAGCCUUCUGGGAAUUAUGCACUUUGCCAGAAGAAUCGGGGUUGAAACCCUUUGCAAGCUGAGCUGUCUCUGUCUCCCCUCCGUGCCAGUCAUAGGGCUGGGCACCCAGAGAGAGAGCUGACAGCCUUUGAUGAACCGGCCCCUGAGGGCAGGAGACACAAAAGCAGAGAGACAGUGGAAUAUAAAAAUGGGAGAGAUGGACGAUUUCACCCCUCCUGCCCCAGGAAGCUGCUGCCACCUACUUCUCCCCCAAGUUGGCCAAGGGACUAGAGGAGGUCAAGGGGUCUGCUGGGUCUGCAGACAGGCAGGAGGAAGGUGGAGGUGUGAAUACCUGCUCUCCCCACCCCACCACUUUCACUGUAGCCCAAACAAUAUACAAUGCCUCCUCUCAUUAGUUUUCAUCAGCAUGUGACAGGCCAGGAGCAGCUGAGACAGC